rnacentral:lncRNA from 1 species
UGCGGAUCAGUUUGCUCUGAGCGCUUGUGUUGUUUACCAAGAAAAUGCAGCCCUGUUGGUUUUUAUUUCUGUAUCGCAUCGCGGUGAGUUUCCAUUUCUUGGUAAUUCGGUUUGUGAAAUGACUAUUAAUUACAAGCACAGCAUCAUCAACGGUGAUUGCAAGAACUACUGCAAUCCCUGCGGUUUUUCCUCUUGGUAAAUGCGUUCUGGUCGUGACCAAGGGCAUGUCCCAAAUCGGCAGGGCAUAAGGAUUUUGUUGCAGAACAAAACGCCCCAAACCACUGCUGUGGUAAAUAUGUUCCAGCAGAGCUGCCCACCGCCGUCGGUGUAAUGAUUUCGAUAGCUGAACAAACGCCAUCUCCUGGGCAUUCCCACAGCUUGCCGACACUAGCUAUUAUAUCACGUGUGAAUGCAACUGCGGCUUAAUUUGGUUAUUAACAGUGCAAUAGUACCAUGUCAUUGGCAAAAACACUAAGGGCUGCUGGCAAAUAUAGGUUGUAAAGUUUUUGGUAUCGAUGAACUUACUCGAAGAAGACGAUGGCCGAAAACAUAUGAUGAAACAUCUUCUGGCAUGCCUUUGACAAUCGUUAAGUCAGACGGACGCUUCACAUACGAUAUUUCACACAUGGCUGGAAUUCGUUAGCAGACAGAGCACUCAUUUAAAAAAUAUUUAUCGUUCAGCAGAACGUGCAUGCAUAUUCGAUUCCGAUUUUAUGGGUCG